rnacentral:rRNA from 1 species
GACGGAAGGUGCAAGCGUUGCUCGGAAUCACUGGGCGUAAAGGGUGCGUAGGCGGCCGUGCAAGUCUGGCGUGAAAGCCCCGGGCUCAGCCCGGGAAGUGCGCUCGAAACUGCGCGGCUCGAGUGCCGGAGGGGAGAGUGGAAUUCCUGGUGUAGCGGUGAAAUGCGUAGAUAUCGGGAGGAACACCGGUGGCGAAGGCGGUUCUCUGGGCCUUACCUGACGCUGAGGAGCGAAAGCGUGGGGAGCGAACUGG